rnacentral:rRNA from 1 species
UACGUAGGGGGCAAGCGUUGUCCGGAAUUAUUGGGCGUAAAGAGCUCGUAGGCGGUGUGUCGCGUCGGCCGUGAAAACCUGGGGCUUAACUCUGGGCGUGCGGUCGAUACGGGCAUCACUGGAGUUCGGCAGGGGAGACUGGAAUUCCUGGUGUAGCGGUGAAAUGCGCAGAUAUCAGGAGGAACACCGGUGGCGAAAGCGGCUCUCUGGAACGGUACUGACGCUGAGACGCGAAAGCGUGGGGAGCGAACAGG